rnacentral:tRNA from 1 species
GCUAGCGUAGCUUACACAAAAGCAUAACACUGAAGAUGUUAAGACGGGCCCUAAUAAGACCCCGCAAGCA